rnacentral:rRNA from 1 species
GAGUUUGAUCAUGGCUCAGAACGUACGCUGGCGGCACGCCUAACACAUGCAAGUCGAACGAAGUAGCAAUACUUAGUGGCAGACGGGUGAGUAACAUGUAGGUAUCUGCCCUUUGGCCUGGAAUAACACGAGGAAACUUGUGCUAAUACCGGAUAAGUCUUUACGGAGAAAGCUUUAUGCACCAUUGGAUGAGCCUGCACUUGAUUAGUUUGUUGGUGGGGUAAUGGCCUACCAAGACUGUGAUCAAUAGCUGAUUUGAGAGGAUGAUCAGCCACAUUGGGACUGAGACACGGCCCAAACUCCUACGGGAGGCAGCAGUGGGGAAUCUUGCACAAUGGAGGAAACUCUGAUGCAGCGAUGCCGCGUGAGUGAAGAAGGCCCUUGGGUUGUAAAGCUCUUUCGUCGGGGAAGAAAAUGACUGUACCCGAAUAAGAAGGUCCGGCUAACUUCGUGCCAGCAGCCGCGGUAAUACGAAGGGACCUAGCGUAGUUCGGAAUUACUGGGCUUAAAGAGUUCGUAGGUGGUUGAAAAAGUUGGUGGUGAAAUCCCAGAGCUUAACUCUGGAACUGCCAUCAAAACUUUUCAGCUAGAGUAUGAUAGAGGAAAGCAGAAUUUCUAGUGUAGAGGUGAAAUUCGUAGAUAUUAGAAAGAAUACCAAUUGCGAAGGCAGCUUUCUGGAUCAUUACUGACACUGAGGAACGAAAGCAUGGGUAGCGAAGAGGAUUAGAUACCCUCGUAGUCCAUGCCGUAAACGAUGUGUGUUAGACGUUGGAAAUUUAUUUUCAGUGUCGCAGCGAAAGCGAUAAACACACCGCCUGGGGAGUACGACCGCAAGGUUAAAACUCAAAUGAAUUGACGGGGACCCGCACAAGUAGUGGAGCAUGUGGUUUAAUUCGAAGAUACGCGCAGAACCUUACCAACACUUGACAUGUUCGUCGCGACUCUAAGAGAUUAGAGUUUUCGGUUCGGCCGGACGAAACACAGGUGCCGCAUGGCUGUCGUCAGCUCGUGUCGUGAGAUGUUGGGUUAAGUCCCGCAACGAGCGCAACCCUCACUUUUAGUUGCCAUCAUUAAGUUGGGCACUCUGAAAGAACUGCCAGUGAUAAGCUGGAGGAAGGUGGGGAUGACGUCAAGUCCUCAUGGCCCUUACGUGUUGGGCUACACACGUGCUACAAUGGUAUCUACAACAGGAAGCAAGACGGCGACGUUAAGCAAAUCCUUAAAAGAUACCUCAGUUCGGAUUGCACUCUGCAACUCGAGUGCAUGAAGCUGGAAUUACUAGUAAUCGUGGAUCAGCGUGCCACGGUGAAUGCGU